UACAGUUGCUAAGACUGGAUAGGAAAAGUAAAGGCAUCUUUACUUUUUUAAAAGACCUUCUUUGAAGGUAUACUUAAGGAGGGGCUUGCGACACAUUAGUUAGUUGGCAGGGUAAAGGCCUACCAAGACUAUGAUGUGUAGCUGGACUGAGAGGUUGAACAGCCACAUUGGGACUGAGACACGGCCCAAACUCCUACGGGAGGCAGCAGUAGGGAAUUUUCGGCAAUGGAGGAAACUCUGACCGAGCAACGCCGCGUGAACGAUGAAGUACCUCGGUAUGUAAAGUUCUUUUAUUAAGGAAGAAAAAAGAGUGGAAAAACUCCCUUGACGGUACUUAAUGAAUAAGCCCCGGCUAAUUAUGUGCCAGCAGCCGCGGUAAUACAUAAAGGGCGAGCGUUAUCCGGAAUUAUUGGGCGUAAAGGGUGCGUAGGCGGUUUAAUAAGUUUAUAGUUUAAUUUCAGCGCUUAACGCUGUUGUGCUAUAGAAACUGUUUUACUAGAGUGAGUUAGAGGCAAGCGGAAUUCCAUGUGUAGCGGUAAAAUGCGUAAAUAUAUGGAGGAACACCAGAGGCGUAGGCGGCUUGCUGGGACUUUACUGACGCUGAGGCACGAAAGCGUGGGGAGCAAACAGGAUUAGAUACCCUGGUAGUCCACGCCGUAAACGAUGAGUACUAAGUGUCGGGUAAAACCGGUACUGAAGUUAACACAUUAAGUACUCCGCCUGAGUAGUACGUACGCAAGUAUGAAACUUAAAGGAAUUGACGGGACUCCGCACAAGCGGUGGAUCAUGUUGUUUAAUUCGAAGAUACACGAAAAACCUUACCAGGUCUUGACAUUUUCUUGCGAAGUUAUAGAAAUAUAAUGGAGGUUAUCAGGAAAACAGGUGGUGCAUGGUUGUCGUCAGCUCGUGUCGUGAGAUGUUAGGUUAAGUCCUAAAACGAGCGCAACCCUUGUCGUUAAUUGCCAGCAUGUAAUGAUGGGGACUUUAAUGAGACUGCCAAUGAAAAAUUGGAGGAAGGUGGGGAUUACGUCAAAUCAUCAUGCCCCUUAUGAUCUGGGCUACAAACGUGAUACAAUGGUUGAUACAAAGAGUAGCUGAAACGCGAGUUCUUAGCCAAUCUCAAAAAAUCAAUCUCAGUUCGGAUUGAAGUCUGCAACUCGACUUCAUGAAGUUGGAAUCGCUAGUAAUCGCGAAUCAGCAUGUCGCGGUGAAUACGUUCUCGGGGUUUGUACACAACGCCCGUA
rnacentral:rRNA from 1 species